CGAUACGACCGUACCGCAAACCGACACUGGUGCGCGAGAUGAGUAUUCUAAGGCGCUUGAGAGAACUCAGGAGAAGGAACUCGGCAAAUUGACACCGUAACUUCGGAAGAAGGUGUGCCCUAUUAGUGUGUAGUGAACAACGAAGCAUGAAUGGGUUGCAAAAAAUCGGUGGCUGCGACUGUUUAUUAAAAACACAGCACUCUGCAAACACGAAAGUGGACGUAUAGGGUGUGACGCCUGCCCGGUGCUGGAAGAUUAAAUGAUGGGGUGCAAGCUCUUGAUUGAAGUCCCAGUAAACGGCGGCCGUAACUAUAACGGUCCUAAGGUAGCGAAAUUCCUUGUCGGGUAAGUUCCGACCUGCACGAAUGGCGUAACGAUGGCCACACUGUCUCCUCCUGAGACUCAGCGAAGUUGAAAUGUUUGUGAUGAUGCAAUCUCCCCGCGGAAAGACGGAAAGACCCCAUGAACCUUUACUGUAGCUUUGUAUUGGACUUUGAACAGAUCUGUGUAGGAUAGGUGGGAGGCUUUGAAGCAGGGUCGCUAGAUCUUGUGGAGCCAACGUUGAAAUACCACCCUGGUGUGUUUGAGGUUCUAACCUAGGUCCAUUAUCUGGAUCGGGGACAGUGCAUGGUAGGCAGUUUGACUGGGGCGGUCUCCUCCCAAAGCGUAACGGAGGAGUUCGAAGGUACGCUAGUUACGGUCGGACAUCGUGACGAUAGUGCAAUGGCAUAAGCGUGCUUAACUGCGAGACUGACAAGUCGAGCAGAUGCGAAAGCAGGACAUAGUGAUCCGGUGGUUCUGUAUGGAAGGGCCAUCGCUCAACGGAUAAAAGGUACUCUGGGGAUAACAGGCUGAUACCGCCCAAGAGUUCAUAUCGACGGCGGUGUUUGGCACCUCGAUGUCGGCUCAUCUCAUCCUGGGGCUGUAGCCGGUCCCAAGGGUAUGGCUGUUCGCCAUUUAAAGAGGUACGUGAGCUGGGUUUAAAACGUCGUGAGACAGUUUGGUCCCUAUCUUCCGUGGGCGCUGCAGAUUUGAGGAAGCCUGCUCCUAGUACGAGAGGACCGGAGUGGACACACCUCUGGUGUAUCGGUUGUCACGCCAGUGGCAUUGCCGAGUAGCUAAGUGUGGAAGAGAUAACCGCUGAAAGCAUCUAAGCGGGAAACUCGUUUCAGGAUGAGAUCUGCCGGGGCCUUGAGCCCCCUAAAGAGUCGUUCAAGACCAGGACGUUGAUAGGUCAGGUGUGGAAGCG
rnacentral:rRNA from 1 species